AGGGGGAUGUGGACAUUUUUGUGAAGGUGCAAUGUGAGUUGGACUGGAAGAAUGUCUAUUACAGAUCCUAAUUGAAGUAGCGAUUAUCCAGGCUUGUAUCCUGGGGGCUGAUGAGGAGUAGGGUUUCUGGACAACUUAAACAGAUCCAGAGUUAGUCGAUCCUAAUCUCAAUAAUGGGAGAAAGGGAGUACAGUUGAUAUUCUGUAACUGACAACAGUUCGCGGCAACGCAUACUAUUUUUCUCCGCCAAUCUUAUACCGUUGGUAGGGAUCUCUUUCCUACAUGACAGUACUAAUACCCAGGGAAACUGGUCAUCAGGCGAACUGCGGCGUUCUGCUGGCAAAACAUAGCUUCGGUUAUGUCAAUGGCUAUUGGAUUGGUCCAUGAAGCGAAAAAUAGUUUACUGUGUCACUCGUACCGAUAACCGCAUCAGGUCUUCUAGGUAAGUAGCCUAUGGCCAUUGAGGCAUGAUAGUUCAGGGAAUUCGGCCAAUUAGAGCUGUAACUUCGGGAUAAAGCUUGGCUCUGAUGAAAAUCAGAACCGAUUGUUACGCGGAGAGCCCAACUGUUUAAAUAAAACGUAGUGUCGCGCUGUGGUAGUAUAGCCAGUGAACGCGACAUGAAUCCUGCUCAGUGCUGUGUCUGUUAAUAUGGUUCAAGCCAACGAAGCACCGGUAAAUAGCUGGGGUAACUAUGACUCUUAUCAAAGUAGCGAAAUACCUCGUCACUUAAUUAGUGACCUGCAUGAACGGAGCUAUGAGGUUCUCACUGUCCCAAACUGUCUCUCAGCGAACCAACUGUAGUGGGAACGGUCACUAGAUAUCCAGCGGGGAAAGAAGACCCUGUAGAGCUUCACUUUGGUCUAGUCUUGUAUAGUUCCUGCGGGGGUGUAGACUAGGUGGGAGAGCAAUCGAUUCUGAAAAACCACUACCCUGUUUGGAAUUAUGCUUACCUAUCACAAGGAAUAGGACUAGAUAGAAAGUUUGGC
rnacentral:ncRNA from 2 species